UAGUAAGGACUGAGGGAAGAAACUAUAUAAGUUUCAUCGGCAAGAAACAAUGAGAUUAUUUGGGAUGUUUUCAUCAGUUGCUAGAGUUGACUUGCUGAGCCAGCAACUAGAAUCUGCUAGCAUCUAUUCAAUUUCUUUUCUUCCAAGUAAGUGUUCCUGCUUUCCCUAUGAAACCUAAUUUUUCAUGUUUGGAUGCUUUUUAUUUCUACAAUACUCAUCUCUGACUGAGAAUUCAUUCUUUCAACUGCAAAUGAGAGUAGAACUAAGGUUGGUUGCUCAUCCUAAACCUGAAGAUAUUAAAUAAAAGUGCUAGGAGACAAAAGGGCAUAUUACAAACCAUCCACCUCUUCAAUAAACCCAGGACACUGAAUCACACAGAAUCCAGAAGAAAAGGAACCAAUCAUCACCACUUCCAGGGACCUUUGAACAUCGAUGGAGAAAACAACUUCCAUGGAGAAAAGAGGGGCUAAAAUAUCUAAAUUUCAUGUUUCACCUACAAUGUUAGAAGUAUCAUCCAGAGCUGACAAAGCAGUGGUGAUGCUUUUUUGAAGAUCCUGAUUACACCCUCCAGAAUCAUCUUCAUCCGAAGAAAACGAAGGUUCUUCUUCCCCGUCUAUUAACGAUCUGAAGACUGCAUUAACAAGACUGCAGACUUCAAGCUCCCCGCUAGAGCAAAAGCUACUAAUGGCCAAGUAAAGUUUCUACCAACUCUGUUGUAUUAUACAGCACAACAAAAAUCUCCAUUCAUCUAGCAACUCCUGGCAGGCACAGUUAUAUUUUGUUCUUAAAAUAGCACUGUUAUAUUUAAAAUGAGGAAAACUGCAAAGUUAUAGGGUCAUGUUAAUUUGAAGAAUGAAUAACAGGAACAAGAAUUAUUAGAACCGAAACUGAAUAAAAUGAUCUUAGAAGAGACAA